AGCUCCUCCUGUUUGUUGCCCAUGCUUCAGUGUAGAUGGACUUCAGGCUGUUGAUCCCACCACAUUUUUGUGGGAAGAACCCACUAAUUCCUACAUGACCAUUCUCAUGGUGCUUCCAUUGUGUCUAACACAUCAAUAACUCCUGCGUCUUUGCAGCCACAUGGAUCUCCAUCUCCCACCUCCACUGAGAUGUCAGACCAAAAGUCCUCACCAGCACACCAUCCCUCAAACACUGGCAUGCUGUCCCCAGGUUUUAUCUCCAGUGAGCCUGGUUCUAAACCUUUCUCCCCUCAAAUUCAGUUUAAAACUCUUCACUAAACCCUGAUAACUUCUGUGCAAAGAUCCUUUUACCCCUUUGAGACAGGUGUACCCCAUCUGUCACCAGCAGGCCCAGUGCCAUGUAAACUGACCCAUAAUUAUAAUUAACACAGCUGAGAGUUCAUAUCAUUAGAAGUACGAAAGCAGAAAGUAAAGUUAAUUGUUUUCAUCUCCCUCAUACGGUUACUUAUGAAACCAGGCCUCAUGAGGACACAUGAUGUAUUUCAACGAGACAAUAAAAAGCAGCACAUAAUUACACAACUCCUUGGAGUAACGGUGAAUUGUAAGAGAGAACUCUUACAAGCAGAGUAUGAAGCCCGGAAGAACUGAUGCAGCAAUACCUAAGGAACAGAUGAAAAGCCAUAAACUCUUUCCUGGCCACGCAGCUGACAUAAUAAAAUUGUUCUAUUAACAAAA